UGUCUUUGGGCUUUCCGAAAAGGU
rnacentral:siRNA from 1 species